rnacentral:rRNA from 1 species
UACGGAGGGUGCGAGCGUUGUCCGGAAUCAUUGGGCGUAAAGGGCGCGUAGGUGGCCCGGUCAGUUCGUGGUGAAAGCGCGGGGCUCAACCCUGCGUCGGCCAUGAAUACUGCCGCGGCUGGAGCACUGUAGAGGCAGGCGGAAUUCCGGGUGUAGCGGUGGAAUGCGUAGAGAGUCCGGAAGAACACCGGUGGCGAAGGCAGGUCGUCUGGGCCGCAACGUGCACUGCCU